UCAAACGAGGAAAGACUUAUGGUGGAUACCUAGGCACCCAGAGAUGAGGAAGGGCGUAGUAAGCGACGAAAUGCUUCGAGGAGUUGAAAAUAAGUAGAUCUGGAGAUUCCCGAAUAAGUUAACCUUUCGAACUGCUGCUUAAUCCAUGGGCAGACAAGAGAUAACCUGGUGAACUGAAACAUUUUAGUAGCCAGAGGAAAAGAAAGAAAAAGCAAUUCACGUAGUAGCGGUAAGUGGAAUGGGAGCAGCCUAAACCGUGAAAACGGGGUUGUGGGAGAGAAAGACAAGCGUCGUGUUGCUAGGCGAAGCGGUGGAGUGCUGCACCCUAGAUGGUGAGAGUCCAGUAGCUGAAAGCAUCACUAGCUUAUGCUCUGACCCGAGUAGUAUGGGACACGUGGAAUCCCGUGUGAAUCAGCAAGAACCACCUUGCAAGGCUAAAUACUCCUGGGUGACUGAUAGUGAAGUAGUACCGUGAGGGAAGGGUGAAAAGAACCCCCAUCAGGGAGUGAAAUAGAACAUGAAACCGUAAGCUCCCAAGCAGUGGGAGGAGCCCUGGGCUCUGACCGCGCGCCUGUUGAAGAAUGAGCUGGCGACUCAUAGGCAGUGGCUUGGUUAAGGGAACCCACCGGAGCCGUAGCGAAAGCGAGUCUUCAUAGGGCAAUUGUCACUACUUAUGGACUCAAACCUGGGUGAUCUAUCCAUGACCAGGAUGAAGAUUGGGUGAAACUAAGUGGAGGUCUGAACUGAUUAAUGUUGAAGAAUUAGCGGAUGAGUUGUGGUUAAGGGUGAAAUGAGCUAGCUGGUUCUCCCCAAAAUGCGUUGAGGAGCAGCAGUUGACUGGGGGUAAUGCACUGUUUUGGUGCGGGCUGCAAAAAUGUGGCCGAAGAUGAACGGGGCUAAGCGAUUUGUCGAAGCUGUGGGAUGUAAAAAUGCAUCGGUAGGGAAGUGUUCCGCCUAGAGGAAAGCAACCGCGCCAGCGGCGGUGGACGAAGCGGAAGCGAGAAUGUCAACUUGAGUAACGCAAAGAUUGGUCAGAAUCCAAUGCCCCGAACACCCAAGGGUUCCUCCACAAGGUUCGUCCAUGGAGGGUGAGUCAGGGCCUAAGAUCAGGCCGAAAGGUGUAGUCGAUGGACAACAAGUGAAUAUUCCUGUACUACCCUUUGUUGUUCCCGAGGGACGAAGGAGGCUAGGUUAGCUGAAAGAUGGUUAUCGGUUCAAGGACACGAGGUGCCCCUAAUUUUUCAGGGUAAGAAGAGGUAGAGAAAAUGCCUCGAACCAAUGUUUGAGUACCAAGCGCCACGACGCUGAAGUAACCUAUGCCAUACUCCCAAGAAAAGCUCGAAUGACCUUCAACAAAAGGGUACCUGUACCCAAAACUAACACAGGUGGGUAGGUAGAGAAUACCUAGGGGCGCGAGAUAACUCUCUCUAAGGAAAUCGGCAAAAUAGCCCCGUAACUUCGGGAGAAGUGGUGCUUCCUUACAAAGGAGGUCGCAAUGACCAGGCCCGGGCAACUGUUUACCAAAAACACAAGUCUCCGUAAAGUCGUAAGAUCAUGUAUGGGGGCCGAUGCCUGCCCAGUGGUGGAAGGUCAAGGAAGUUAAUGACUUGAUGACAGGGGAGUCGGCGACCGAAGCCCCAGUGAACGGCGGUCGUAACUAUAACGGUCCUAAGGUAGUGAAAUUCCUUGUCGGGUAAGUUUCGACCCGCACGAAAGGCGUAACGGUCUAGGCACUGUCUCGGAGAGAGGCUCGGUGAAAUAGACAUGUCUGUGAAGAAGCAGACUACCUGCACCUGGACAGAAAGACCCUAUGAAGCUUCACUAUUCCCUGGGAUUGGCUUUGGGCCUUUCCUGCGCAGCUUAGGUGGAAGGCGAAGAAGGCAACCUUCC
rnacentral:rRNA from 1 species